rnacentral:tRNA from 1 species
GUGGCUGGCUCAGUGGUAGAGUGCUUGCCUUGCAUGCAUGAGGCCCUGGGUUUGAUUCCUCAGUACCACA